GCUGGCUGCUAGAUCUCUGCAACUCCCUCGUGGUCACCCUCUGAAACUAAGCAGGGCUGCACCCGGUCAGUACCUGGAUUGGAGACCACAUGGGAAAGCUAGGUUGCUGCCGGAA
rnacentral:rRNA from 1 species